AAAUACUUAAUUCUCAAUCGAGCAUCAUAUCUUCAAUGCUCUUCAUUGAAGUAUUAGGGGAUUAGCAGUUGCAGAUUUCACAUCACAAAAGAGAGGGUUCACAAAUUGUUGAGGGCAAUGAGGGUUCACAGAUUUCAUAUCUUCAAUGCUCUUCUUUGUUGCAGAAGUUUAAGGAUGUACAACGCCAACAUCAGGAACAUGUGAGAACUCAGAUGUAUCCCCCGUUCCACUGCAUCCAUCGUGUCCCAGGAUGUACCAGAAAUCAGAUUAACCAAUAAUGCUUCACCUAGUGCAGAGCAAAGCCAUCCUCAUUCAAUAUCAUAGAGAGAGGCCUAGUGCAACUUAAAGAAUAAUGUUUCUUCUCCAUUGGCAUAUAUAACUCUGAUUUUGAUUUGCAAAUGAAUAGGUUGUACGCUGUUCUUUUCCAUAAAAAUACAAAGAAUGCCCUUAGCCUAGGUGUGUGAUCCAAAUUGGAAGAAAUGGAUGACAUGCAAUUCCAAACUUCAACUUUUACAAUGCUACAGGACUGCUUGUAAAAUAAUAUUGAUAUAUCAUCUGGGCCGGUGCAUUUAUGUAAACCCAUGUUGAAUACACUACUUGCUUAUUUCUUAUUCACUUGGAAUCUAAGUUAGCAUCUUAUUCUUGUUACAAA